AUUGAACGCUGGCGGCAUGCUUUACACAUGCAAGUCGAACGGUAACAGGCCUUCGGGUGCUGACGAGUGGCGAACGGGUGAGUAAUGCAUCGGAACGUACCCAGAGGUGGGGGAUAACGCAGCGAAAGCUGUGCUAAUACCGCAUGUGAUCUGAGGAUGAAAGCGGGGGACCGAGCAGCAAUGUUUGGCCUCGCGCCUUUGGAGCGGCCGAUGUCGGAUUAGCUAGUUGGUGGGGUAAAGGCCUACCAAGGCGACGAUCCGUAGCUGGUCUGAGAGGACGACCAGCCACACUGGGACUGAGGCACGGCCCAGACUCCUACGGGAGGCAGCAGUGGGGAAUGUUGGACAAUGGGCGCAAGCCUGAUCCAGCAAUGCCGCGUGCGGGAAGAAGGCCUUCGGGUUGUAAACCGCUUUUGGCAGGAACGAAACGGUGUCCGCUAAUACCGGGCGCUAAUGACGGUACCUGCAGAAUAAGCACCGGCUAACUACGUG
rnacentral:rRNA from 1 species